rnacentral:rRNA from 1 species
UACAGAGACUGCAAGCGUUAUUCGGAUUGACUGGGCGUAAAGGGCGCGUAGGCGGCUUGUACAGUCAGACGUGAAAUUCCUGGGCUCAACCUGGGGGCUGCGUUUGAUACGUGCGGGCUUGAGUUCGGAAGAGGGUCGUGGAAUUCCCAGUGUAGAGGUGAAAUUCGUAGAUAUUGGGAAGAACACCGGUGGCGAAGGCGGCGACCUGGUCCGAUACUGACGCUGAGGCGCGAAAGCGUGGGGAGCAAACAGG